GACGGUCUUGCUGUCACUUAUAGAUGGAUCCGCGCUGCAUUAGCUAGUUGGUAAGGUAACGGCUUACCAAGGCAACGAUGCAUAGCCGACCUGAGAGGGUGAUCGGCCACACUGGAACUGAGACACGGUCCAGACUCCUACGGGAGGCAGCAGUAGGGAAUCUUCCGCAAUGGGCGAAAGCCUGACGGAGCAACGCCGCGUGAGUGAUGAAGGUCUUCGGAUCGUAAAACUCUGUUAUUAGGGAAGA
rnacentral:rRNA from 1 species